rnacentral:rRNA from 1 species
CCUGAGCCUUGUACACACCGCCCGUCAAGUCAUGGGAGCCGGGAACGGCCGAAGCCGCCGCACCACAGCGGUGUCUACGCCGGGCUCGGUGACUGGGACU